CCUACGUGUGGCUGCAGUGAGGAAUAUUGGUCAAUGGCCGGAAGGCUGAACCAGCCCAGCCGCGUGAAGGACGAAGGUGCCAAGCAUUGUAAACUUCUUUUGUCAAGGGACAAAAUCAGGCUCGAGAGCCUGACCGAGUGGACUUGAAGAACAAGCAUCGGCUAACUCCCUGCCAGCAGCCGGUGUAAUACGGAGGAUGCGAGCGUUAUCCGGAUUUAUUUGGUUUAAAGGGUUCGUAGGCGGGCUGUUCAGUCAGCGGUAAAAGCCCGGUGCUCAACCCCGACGAGCCGUUGAAACUGGCUGUCUUGAGAGGGCGAGAGGUAUGCGGAAUGCGCAGUGUAGCGGUGAAAUGCUUAGAUAUUGCGCAGAACUCCGAUUGCGAAGGCAGCAUACCGGCGGCGAUCUGACGCGGAGGCACGAAAGCGUGGGUAUCGAACAGGAUUAGAUACCCGGGUAGUC
rnacentral:rRNA from 1 species